GAGGCUCUGCCUUGUUCGUGUUUGCCACUACUAAUUUGAGCCAACACAUCUACCUUGGGAGCCCGGCUCUACUUGUGGCUUGAAUGCCCUUAUAUAGGGACUCAUAAAGCAAGUAGGAGGAGCACCCACUUGCGGAGCGCAGGGUUCAAUCUAGUAUUCAGGCACGGCAAGGCGGAGUUUCU
rnacentral:other from 1 species